ensembl:snRNA U4 U4 spliceosomal RNA
AGCUUUGCACAGUGGCAGUAUCGUAGCCAAUGAGGUUUAUCUGAGGCACGAUUAUUGCUAACUGAAAACUUUUCUCGAUACCCCGCUAUGAUGAAUGACUUGAAAUACAGUUGGCAUUGGCAAUUUUCGACAGUCGCUAUGGAGA